GAUGAACGCUGGCGGCGUGCCUAACACAUGCAAGUCGAGCGAUUCUCUUCGGAGAAGAGCGGCGGACGGGUGAGUAACGCGCGGGUAACCUGCCCUGUACACACGGAUAACACACCGAAAGGUAUGCUAAUACGAGAUAAUAUGCUUUUAUCGCAUGGUAGAAGUAUCAAAGCUUUUGCGGUACAGGAUGGACCCGCGUCUGAUUAGCUAGUUGGUAAGGUAACGGCUUACUAAGGCGACGAUCAGUAGCCGACCUGAGAGGGUGAUCGGCCACAUUGGAACUGAGACACGGUCCAAACUCCUACGGGAGGCAGCAGUGGGGAAUAUUGCACAAUGGGCGAAAGCCUGAUGCAGCAACGCCGCGUGAGCGAUGAAGGCCUUCGGGUCGUAAAGCUCUGUCCUCAAGGAAGAUAAUGACGGUACUUGAGGAGGAAGCCCCGGCUAACUACGUGCCAGCCGCCGCGGUAAAAC
rnacentral:rRNA from 1 species